rnacentral:rRNA from 1 species
GACGUAGGGCGCGAGCGUUGUCCGGAUUUAUUGGGCGUAAAGAGCUCGUAGGCGGCUUGUCGCGUCGAAUGUGAAAACCCACGGCUCAACUGUGGGCUUGCAUUCGAUACGGGCAGGCUAGAGUUCGGUAGGGGAGACUUGAAUUCCUGGUGUAGCGGUGAAAUGCGCAGAUAUCAGGAGGAACACCGGUGGCGAAGGCGGGUCUCUGGGCCGAUACUGACGCUGAGGAGCGAAAGCGUGGGGAGCGAACAGG